CUCCUCCUACGGGGCGCAGCAGUAGGGAAUCUUCCACAAUGGGCGAAAGCCUGAUGGAGCAACGCCGCGUGGGUGAAGAAGGUCUUCGGAUCGUAAAGCCCUGUUGUUAGAGAAGAAAGUGCGUGAGAGUAACUGUUCACGUUUCGACGGUAUCUAACCAGAAAGCCACGGCUAACUACGUGCCAACAGCCGCGGUAAUACGUAGGUGGCAAGCGUUAUUCGGAUUUAUUGGGCGUAAAGGGAACGCAGGCGGUCUUUUAAGUCUGAUGUGAAAGCCUUCGGCUUAACCGGAGUAGUGCAUUGGG
rnacentral:rRNA from 1 species